CCUACGGGAGGCAGCAGUGAGGAAUAUUGGGCAAUGGACGCAAGUCUGAACCAGCCAUGCCGCGUGCAGGAAGAAGGCUCUAUGAGUUGUAAACUGCUUUUGUACGAGGGUAAACGCAGAUACGCGUACCUGUCUGUAAGUAUCCUACGAAUAAGGAUCGGCUAACUCCGUGCCAGCAGCCGCGGGAAUACGGAGGGUUCAAGCGUUAUCCGGAUUUAUUGGGGUUAAAGGGUGCGUAGGCGGGCGGUUAAGUUAGAGGUGAAAUCCCGGGGCUCAACUUCGGAAUUGCCUCUGAUACUGUUCGGCUAGAGAGUAGUUGCGGUAGGCGGAAUGUGUGGUGUAGCGGUGAAAUGCUUAGAGAUCAUGCAGAACACCGAUUGCGAAGGCAGCUUACCAGGCUACAUCUGACGUUGAGGCACGAAAGCGUGGGGAGCAAACAGGAUUAGAUACCCGGGUAGUC
rnacentral:rRNA from 1 species